rnacentral:rRNA from 1 species
CACGCAGGCGGUUUGUUAAGUCAGAUGUGAAAUCCCCGGGCUCAACCUGGGAACUGCAUCUGAUACUGGCAAGCUUGAGUCUCGUAGAGGGGGGUAGGAAUUCCACGUGUAGCAGCGAAAUGCGUAGAGAUGUGGAGGAAUACCGAUGGCGAAGGCAGCCCCCUCGGGAUAACACUGACGUUCAUGCUGAAAGCGUGGGUAGCAAACA